AUCGCUUCUCGGCCUUUUGGCUAAGAUCAAGUGUAGUAUCUGUUCUUAUCAGUUUAAUAUCUGAUACGUCUCCUAUCCGGGGACCAUAUAUUAAAUAGAUUUUUGGAACAGGGAGAUGGAAUAGGGGCUUGCUCCGUCCACUCCACGCAUCGACCUGGUAUUGCAGUAUCUCCAGGAACGGUGCACUCCCU
rnacentral:snRNA from 1 species